UACGUAGGGCGCAAGCGUUGUCCGGAAUUAUUGGGCGUAAAGAGCUCGUAGGUGGUCUGUUACGUCUGCUGUGAAAACCCAGGGCUUAACCCUGGGCCUGCAGUGGAUACGGGCAGACUAGAGGUAGGUAGGGGAGAAUGGAAUUCCCGGUGUAGCGGUGAAAUGCGCAGAUAUCGGGAGGAACACCGGUGGCGAAGGCGGUUCUCUGGGCCUUACCUGACACUGAGGAGCGAAAGCGUGGGGAGCGAACAGG
rnacentral:rRNA from 1 species